rnacentral:lncRNA from 1 species
CAGAUUUGGCAUUAUUUUCAUAAUAACAUGUACGACUGAAAAAUAUGAAAGAUAUGCAAUGGUUCAUUUUCCAUUUUUCAGAAGAUCAAAAUUUUCAUCAAAAAUAGAAAUCAUAUGUAUGACAAGCAGUGAUGAUAGUUUUUUAAAAAUUAUUUAAGUAGAUGACUAUCAUACAUAAUUGUCUUUUUCAUUUCUUCAAGAAUUCUAUUAAUCCUAUUUUGCUUAUGGUGUCCUUGGUGCUGAAAUCAUUGGAUUUAAUAUUAUUUUCUGUAUAACCUUUAUCAGGAUUUUGGU